AUUGAACGCUGGCGGCAGGCCUAACACAUGCAAGUCGAGCGGUAACACAGAGAGCUUGCUCUCGGGUGACGAGCGGCGGACGGGUGAGUAAUGUCUGGGAAACUGCCUGAUGGAGGGGGAUAACUACUGGAAACGGUAGCUAAUACCGCAUAACGUCGCAAGACCAAAGAGGGGGACCUUCGGGCCUCUUGCCAUCAGAUGUGCCCAGAUGGGAUUCGCUAGUAGGUGGGGUAACGGCUCACCUAGGCGACGAUCCCUAGCUGGUCUGAGCGGAUGACCAGCCAAACAGGAACUGGGACACGGGCCAGACUCCUACGGGAGGCAGCAGUGGGGAAUAUUGCACAAUGGGCGCAAGCCUGAUGCAGCCAUGCCGCGUGUAUGAAGAAGGCCUUCGGGUUGUAAAGUACUUUCAGCGGGGAGGAAGGCGAUAAGGUUAAUAACCUUGUCGAUUGACGUUACCCGCAGAAGAAGCACCGGCUAACUCCGUGCCAGCCGCCGCCGUAACAC
rnacentral:rRNA from 1 species